rnacentral:rRNA from 1 species
GGAUAACCUGCCCUUAGGACUGGCAUAACCCCGGGAAACUGGGGAUAAUUCCGGAUAGUUCAUGGUAGCUGGAAUGCUCCAUGAUCGAAAGCUAUUGCGCCUAAGGAUGGGUCUGCGGUCUAUCAGGUAGUAGUGGGUGUAAUGUACCUACUAGCCGACGACGGAUACGGGUUGUGGGAGCAAGAGCCCGGAGAUGGAUUCUGAGACAUGAAUCCAGGCCCUACGGGGCGCAGCAGGCGCGAAAACUUUACAAUGCGGGAAACCGCGAUAAGGGGACACCGAGUGCCAGCAUCUUAUGUUGGCUGUCCGCAUGUAUAAAUCACAUGUGUUAGCAAGGGCCGGGCAAGACCGGUGCCAGCCGCCGCGGUAACACCGGCGGCCCGAGUGGUGGCCACUAUUAUUGGGUCUAAAGGGUCCGUAGCCGGUUUGGUCAGUCUUCCGGGAAAUCUGACGGCUUAACCGUUAGGCUUUCGGGGGAUACUACCAGGCUUGGGACCGGGAGAGGUAAGAGGUACUACGGGGGUAGGAGUGAAAUCUUGUAAUCCUCGUGGGACCACCAGUGGCGAGGGCGUCUUACCAGAACGGGUCCGACGGUGAGGGACGAAAGCUGGGGGGCACGAACCGGAUUAGAUACCCGGGUAGUCCCAGCCGUAAACUAUGCUCGCUAGGUGUCAGGGACGGUGCGACCGUUUCUGGUGCCGCAGGGAAGUCGUGA